AUUGAACGCUAGCGGGAUGCCUUCCACCUGCAAGUCGAACGGAGUGGCGAACGGGUGAGUAAUGUAUCGGAACGUGCCCAGUCGCGGGGGAUAACUACGCGCACGCGUCGCUAAUACCGCAUACUAUUGUAUCGGCCGAUAUCGGAUUGUCUAGUUGGUGGGGUAACGGCUCACCAAGGCUACGAUCCGUAGCUGGUUUGAGAGGACGACCAGCCACACUGGGAGUGAGAAACGGCCCAGACUCCUACGGGAGGCAGCAGUGGGGAAUUUUGGACAAUGGGUGAAACCCUGAUCCAGCCAUCCCGCGUGUGCGAGGAAGGCCUUCGGGUUGUAAAGCACUUUUGGCAGGAAAGCGGUACCUGCAGAAUAAGCACCGGCUAACUACGUGCCAGCAGCCGCGGUAAUUC
rnacentral:rRNA from 1 species